AUUUGCCAUGAUAAAAUUUUUUUUCAGAACCUGAAAACCUGAGGACAACAACUGGCUCAAGAUAAUUUCACCAUGGUGUUAGCAGCAAGCCCAGCUCCAUCUCCUAGGCAACUCCCCCAUGCUUCAUGCCCUCCAGCCCCACAGGAGUUCCUGUCCUAAAGGAGCUACACACUCCAUUUUUCCUACUUUACCUAAAAAUCCCAAAGAUGGAAUCUAAGGUACCUGCGUCUUUAGGUGCAUAGAAAGAAAAAUAACCUGCCUCCUCCAAGAUGACUGGAAAGCAGCUUCCUGCUUCUUUACAACUGUAUACAACUGUGUUCAAUUUACAGACACUGGCAUUGUAUGACCUGGGUGUGAAAAAGAACCCAGAACUCUUCUGUACCCAUUGUCAGAAAAUCUAAGAAGGCCAGUCGUAUCUUUCAAGAUUUUCAACCCUUUUCUGGGGCAAAAGACUGAGUUAGUGUAAUUACAAUCACCUGGAAAUGAACUGCAAACAGAGCUGCUUUUGUUCCCCAACUGAAAUCUUGCAAAAGAGACACAUUACUUUGCUAGCUC
rnacentral:lncRNA from 1 species